GAUGAAGAACGCAGCGAAAUGCGAUAAGUAGUGUGAAUUGCAGAAUUCAGUGAAUCAUCGAAUCUUUGAACGCACAUUGCGCCCCUUGGUAUUCCAUGGGGCAUGCCUGUUCGAGCGUCAUUUGUACCUUCAAGCUCUGCUUGGUGUUGGGUGUUUGUCUCGCCUCUGCGUGUAGACUCGCCUCAAAACAAUUGGCAGCCGGCGUAUUGAUUUCGGAGCGCAGUACAUCUCGCGCUUUGCACUCAUAACGACGACGACCAAAAGUACAUUUUUACACUCUUGACCUCGGAUCAGGUAGGGAUACCCGCUGAACUUAAGCAUAUCAAUAAGCGGAGGA
rnacentral:misc_RNA from 1 species